CUUUGUGGCUAUGCCUGCUUGUAACUGCCAGAUCUCGGAAGCUAAGCAAGGCUGGGUCUAGUUAGUACUUGGAUGGGAGAUCGACUUCCAAGCUUUUGUCAGUCUACCCCAGGGC
rnacentral:rRNA from 1 species